rnacentral:rRNA from 1 species
AACGAACGCUGGCGGCAUGCCUAACACAUGCAAGUCGAACGAGACCUUCGGGUCUAGUGGCGCACGGGUGCGUAACGCGUGGGAAUCUGCCCUUGGGUUCGGAAUAACAGUUAGAAAUGACUGCUAAUACAGGAUGAUGUCUUCGGACCAAAGAUUUAUCGCCCAAGGAUGAGCCCGCGUAGGAUUAGCUAGUUGGUGAGGUAAAGGCUCACCAAGGCGACGAUCCUUAGCUGGUCUGAGAGGAUGAUCAGCCACACUGGGACUGUGACACGGCCCAGACUCCUACGGGAGGCAGCAGUGGGGAAUAUUGGACAAUGGGCGAAAGCCUGAUCCAGCAAUGCCGCGUGAGUGAUGAAGGCCCUAGGGUUGUAAAGCUCUUUUACCCGGGAUGAUAAUGACAGUACCGGGAGAAUAAGCCCCGGCUAACUCCGUGCCAGCCGCCGCAGUAA